GAUGAACGCUGGCGGCGUGCCUAAUACAUGCAAGUCGAACGAACGGACGAGAAGCUUGCUUCUCUGAUGUUAGCGGCGGACGGGUGAGUAACACGUGGAUAACCUACCUAUAAGACUGGGAUAACUUCGGGAAACCGGAGCUAAUACCGGAUGAUAUUUUGAACCGCAUGGUUCAAAAGUGAAAGACGGUCUUGCUGUCACUUAUAGAUGGAUCCGCGCUGCAUUAGCUAGUUGGUAAGGUAACGGCUUACCAAGGCAACGAUGCAUAGCCGACCUGAGAGGGUGAUCGGCCACACUGGAACUGAGACACGGUCCAGACUCCUACGGGAGGCAGCAGUAGGGAAUCUUCCGCAAUGGGCGAAAGCCUGACGGAGCAACGCCGCGUGAGUGAUGAAGGUCUUCGGAUCGUAAAACUCUGUUAUUAGGGAAGAACAUAUGUGUAAGUAACUGUGCACAUCUUGACGGUACCUAAUCAGAAAGCCACGGCUAACUACGUG
rnacentral:rRNA from 1 species